GAUGACCGCUGGCGGCGUGCCUAAUACAUGCAAGUCGAGCGAACCGACGAGGAGCUUGCUCCUUUGACGUUAGCGGCGGCCGGGUGAGUAACACGUAGGUAACCUACCUAUAAGACUGGGAUAACUUCGGGAAACCGGAGCUAAUACCGGAUAAUAUUUCGAACCGCAUGGUUCGAUAGUGAAAGAUGGCUUUGCUAUCACUUAUAGAUGGACCUGCGCCGUAUUAGCUAGUUGGUAAGGUAACGGCUUACCAAGGCAACGAUACGUAGCCGACCUGAGAGGGUGAUCGGCCACACUGGAACUGAGACACGGUCCAGACUCCUACGGGAGGCAGCAGUAGGGAAUCUUCCGCAAGGGGCGAAAGCCUGACGGAGCAACGCCGCGUGAGUGAUGAAGGUCUUCGGAGCGUAAAACUCUGUGAGUAGGGAAGAACAAACGUGUAAGUAACUGUGCACGUCUUGAAGGUACCUAAUCAGAAAGCCACGGCUAACUACGUG
rnacentral:rRNA from 1 species